GGAGUGUGUUUGGGGAUAGUGACCCCGGGGGGUAGGAGAGUGUACCUGGGGAGAGUGGUGGUGAGGGUAGGAGAGUGGCUCUGGGGAUAGUGGCCCCGGGGGCAGGAGAAUGUACCUAGGGCUUUGGCCCCGGGGGCAGGAGAGGGGCCCUGGGGACGGUGGCCCUGAGGGUAGGAGAGGGGCCCUGGGACGGUGGCCCUGAGGGUAGGAGAGGGGCUUUGCUGAGGAGCUGGAAGAUCCAGGCAAGAAGCCAGACUGUGACAGUUCUCCUGUGUCUGCUUACUUAAGUGAAAUUGGAAGGAUCUUUUGGAAAUUCCCUGAAGGCUCAACAGCAUGCGAACAUGACAUAUCCCUGAUGGCUGCUCGCUGCUCAUGAACUUCACCUGUCUUGAAGAGAAGUUACCAGAAUAGAGCCUAUGAGAUUGGAGGAACUUGGGAGAUGCUUGCUUGACUCUGGUGUUGUCAGCAAGCCUCACUGGUUUGGAAGGAGUGGAGAUGAGCUGCCAGUUGCUGUUUCCCAUCUCGUGGGUUUGAAGAGCUGUUUCUCACUGACACUGGCCUGAACACUCAUUCCUGGGGUAACCACAACAGGAUUUUCCAGAGCAAAGGCCACUAAAACACUGUCUUGCAGUGCUUGGGGAAAGCUUCAGAAUGGAAACUCGGAUGGAGUCUGAUACUCCAUCUGUUUUAGUAACAGUGUCUUGAGCAGAGAAGUAAAAUGCAUGCAAUUAAUAAAUUUAAAUAUACUGGUAUUUUUUUCUUGCUU
rnacentral:lncRNA from 1 species